GAUGAACGCUGGCGGCGUGCUUAACACAUGCAAGUCGAACGAUGAAGCCCAGCUUGCUGGGUGGAUUAGUGGCGAACGGGUGAGUAACACGUGAGUAACCUGCCCUUAACUCUGGGAUAAGCCUGGGAAACUGGGUCUAAUACCGGAUAGGAGCGUCCACCGCAUGGUGGGUGUUGGAAAGAUUUAUCGGUUUUGGAUGGACUCGCGGCCUAUCAGCUUGUUUGUGAGGUAAUGGCUCACCAAGGCGACGACGGGUAGCCGACCUGAGAGGGUGACCGGCCACACUGGGACUGAGACACGGCCCAGACUCCUACGGGAGGCAGCAGUGGGGAAUAUUGCACAAUGGGCGCGAGCCUGAUGCAGCGACGCCGCGUGAGGGAUGACGGCCUUCGGGUUGUAAACCUCUUUCAGUAGGGAAGAAGCGAAAGUGACGGUACCUGCAGAAGAAGCACCGGCUAACUACGUG
rnacentral:rRNA from 1 species